rnacentral:rRNA from 1 species
CGCAGUGAGGAUUGACAGAUUGAUAGCUCUUUCUUGAUUCUGUGGGUGGUGGUGCAUGGCCGUUCUUAGUUGGUGGAGUGAUUUGUCUGGUUAAUUCCGAUAACGAACGAGACCUUAACCUGCUAAAUAGUUACGCCAAUUUUAUUGGUGUCGACUUCUUAGAGGGACUAUGUCACGUUGAGUGCAUGGAAGUUUGAGGCAAUAACAGGUCUGUGAUGCCCUUAUAUGUCCUGGGCUGCACGCGUGCUACACUGAUGCAUACAACAAGUUCCUAGACCGAAAGGUUACGGCAAUCUCGAAUAUGCAUCGUGAUGGGGAUAGAUCUUUGCAAUUAUAGAUCUUGAACGAGGAAUUCCUAGUAAAUGUAAGUCAUCAUCUUACAUUGAUUAUGUCCCUGCCCUUUGUACACACCGA